CUGUGAAGGUGACGUUGGAGCAGAGACAGAAAUUGAAUGAGAAAGCAAGCUGUGUCCCAUCAGGGGGAAGGGCAUUCUGGGUAGAGAGAUGAGCAAGUCAGAAGCCUUGAAGUGGGAACAUGCCCCACCCGUUUGAAGACUUGCAAGGAGGCUAAAGUGGCUGGAGCAGAGAGAGUAGGGGGAGGAGCGGCAGGGAAAGAGAUGAGAGAAGCAGCCAGAGGCCACAUCACGCAGGUCAGGGAAAGGACUUAGAAUUUUUUUCAAAGUAUGAUGGGAAACCUUGGAGAGCUUUGAGAUGGCAACAACAAGAUCUCGUUUGCAUUGCAAAGGGUCUUCCGGGCUGUUGCUUGGAGAGCCUGCCUUAAGGGAAGCAGAGGCGAAGCGGCUGGGGAAGCCCUUGUGAGGAUGUCUUCACUUGAUGGGGCAGCCCCUGGGAGAGCAGCCAGCACUUCCUGCUCCUGAAUAUACUUUGAUCCCAGACUGAGGUACUGUGACCAAAGCAAGCAGAUUCCUUGAUCUUACUGUGGGGCUGAGACAACUGUGUUUCCAUCCUACCUGGAGGGGUGGAUGCGUUUUACUAUUGUUAAAAGAUAAACUGAGGCAUAUUACAUUUUUAAGAGUUUACUUGAGUGAAAAUCAAUUCUGAUCGGGCAGCGCCAAGCCGGAAGUGGUGAGGAGGCUCCACCACGAGGAGCUGGUGGAAGAUAUUUGCAGAGAAGAGGUGGAAGGUGUGAAAUGUUUUUUCUGAUCUUGGGAACUGUUGGAAGAACCGAGAUGAAGUAUAUCCGGAGAAAGGUGUGUAGGAGGAAUAUGUCAAUUUCCUGGGGCUGCCACAGCAAAGUACCACAAACUGCAUGGCUUAGACAACAGAAAUUUGUCGUCUUAUCGUUCUGGAGGCUACAACUCUGAAAUCAAGGCAUUGUGCCAAUGAUGAACAGAACACUGAAUCUGCCUCUCAAGAAUCCCACAGUUCAACAGAUGACACAAAUCAAACACAGAAAAUGAUAGAAAGUGUGAUAAGAACUAUAAGGGAGGCAUGCACGGAGUCCAAAGGAGCAGACUCCUCAGUAAAGUCUUGAAUGGCACAGAACUCCUAAAACCCUUGGAAUUGCCUACUGAUAAGAGCAAUGAGAACAUCUUUGAUAUAAUAUAGUAUUUAGUCUUUUGUCCUCCAUUCCUGAAAUAGCUACAGAGCCAUAAAAGUAAAAGGAGUAUCUCUUGAUUCAUAACAAGUCCCUUUCCACCACAUGUGAGUUUAUGUUAAUGAGUUGACUUUCAUAAAGUCCCUAAGGUUGGGAGCUGGUUGCCAGGGGAACCAACUGUGUGAUUAGAGGGCCAGAGCUUUCAGUCCCACUCCUCCAUCUCUGGGGAGGAGGGAGGAGCUGGAGGUUGAAUCAAUCACCAAUAGCGAGUGAUUUAAUCAAUCAUGCCUACAUAAUGAAGCCUCCAUAAGAACCCUAAAGGAUGGGAUUCCAAGAGCUUCUGGGUUGGUGAACAUGUGGAGGUGCUAGAAGGGUGGCAUGCACUGAAGCUCUGUACUCCUUCCCUCAUACCUUGCCCUUUGCUUGUCUUCCACUGGGCUAUUCCUGAGUUAUAUCCUUUCAUAAUAAAUCAGUAAUACAGUAAGUAAACUGUUUUCUGGAGUUUUGUGAACUGUUCCAGGAAAUUAAUUGAAUCUGAGGAGGCGUUCAUAGGAACCUCCGAUUUAUAAUCAGUGGGUCAGAAGCACAGGUAUCAACCUAGACUUGGGAUUGUCGUCUGAAGGGAGGGGAGCAGUCUUGUGGGAAUGAACACUUAACUUGUGAGAUCUGACACUAUCUCCAGAUGGAAAGUGUCAGAAUUGAGUUAAAUUAUAGGACACCCAUUGCUGUUGCAGAAUUGCUUGAUGUGUGAAAAACCCACACAUCUCGUGUCGGAAGUGAAGUUGCCGAGUAUUAUGGUAGAGUGUCGAAAGUAGAGGAGACACGCAGGAGGAGUGUGUUUUUCCUUUAGAGGAUUCUGGAGUCAAAAAGGAAAUUUAAUUAUUAAAAACAGAAAAAGAAGAUCUCCGGCCCACCUAAAUGUGUCACGUCCCCUAGAAGUUUGAAACACGAGCAGUGGUGUGUGCUCAAGCUGGCUCAUACUGGCUCAUGAGAGCUAAUUGUUAAAUUUU
rnacentral:lncRNA from 1 species